AGGCCUUCUCUUCAUUGCAGUUCAGAAGGUUCGGAUUUGCCUGAUGCAUCAAAAGAAGUUUCACCAGCACCGUGGACAAAAUGAACCUAACGUCACAUUGGAGAAUUAGAAAAACCUAACCUCAUGCUGCAAGAAUGAAGCAAUUGGCUCUACCCAAAACCUUGCACGUGCCCAAGUUGUCUCCUGGAUAUCUCUGUGAGGAUUUCUCCCACUGACGAACCAGUGUCCAGGUGUGUGCUCACUCACUUGCUCUUCACACAUUGAUUCAGUGAUGCAUUGAGAAAGACCAGCAUCUGCUAAACUAGGACAUCUCUUGAUUCGACUGUUAAUAAAUGGUAACUGAGUACUCUGUGUCAAGCCCUGUACUGGUAAAGAAGUAGAUGCUGUACCUGCCCUGAGUUCUCACAGACUAGAGGGUGAUACGGACAAAUGAAGAGACAAUUCCAACAUGUUGUGAUAAGCGAUGUAAUGUGGGAGAUAGAGGGUGUUAUGCAGGGUGUGUGAGCAGAGCCAUCACAUCCAAACCCAGGAAGUUAGAGUAGACAGCUGGCGAAGUGACAUCUCAGUGUGGUCCUGCAAGGUAAGUGAGAUUUAACCACUUACCAAUUUCAGGAAAAGCAAAGAACAUGAAAAGGAUGUACACAGUGGCAUAUUCCAGAAAUUGAAAGAAGCUCAGUACAGAUAUAUCCUCCAGCCUGGUGGGGGGGAGGCAGGGGAAAUAAAGCUGGAGAAUUACGCAGAAGCCCAGGCACAUGGUGCUCAUAAACUGUGUUAUGGAGUGGGCAUUUCAUAUCAACAGCACUGGAAAGAAUGUUGUGUUGAAAUAGUUUGAUGAUGUUUGCAUUUGGAAAGAUCACUGUAAGUGAAUUGUUGAGAACAGAGGGGAGAAGAGGCUGGGUUAGGAGGCUGAGGGGUUAAUCUUGACUUAGACAUGCUGAUGCACUGGAGGAGGGUAGAGGCAGUGAGGCUGUACAGACUGACUGAUCAUGCUUAUAGUUCAAAUAGCUUAAAACUAUUUAGUAGGUAGAAGUUUGUGGGCUGGGUGGUUUAUUAGACAUGAAAGAAGAGAGAGAGGUAGAAAAGAGGAUAAUGCCCAAUUUUGUGAUGAGUAAAUGAUAAAUCAGAGAAGGAAUAACAAUUUGGGGUUGGAGAAAAGAAGAUGAUAAUUCCCUUUGUAAACAAGUUGAGUUUGAGGACAGAUUGAUAGAGAUUUCCCACGGGGCAAUGGUCCUCAUGGGUCUGGAACACAGAGAGAAACAGAAGAAGGCUUCGGGAGUCGUGAGCAUGUAGAGAAUUCGAAACUGCAGGCUUGGAGACUCCCCAAGGGCAUGCAAACACUGAGAAGAGCUGGAAGCUAGGGCAGAGCAAUGGAUUCAUCAAUCCCAUAUGCUCAGAAGGGUGGGAGGAAAACCAGAGAGUGUGUAUAUCUUUUCCAAAGCAAAGAAGAAAUAUUUGAAGGAAAAAAACACUCUGACUAUGUCUCAAUUCUCAUCUACUUGGGUAAAAAUGUAUUUGAGAACACAAACGACUCCUUUGAACAUCAAGAUAUGCAGGUUGUAUGACACAAAACACUUCUGAAGGGAGGAUAUUAGAUUUUAGAAUUUGUAAAAUUAUUUUCCUAUCUUUUGUUGUAGUAUCUCCAAUCCCAUUAUAAACAUUAAAAAUACGUACAAGGCUAGAAUCAAAUUUUAUGUCCAAUUCAUCAAAUUUUAUUUUAUGUACAACUCAGAAAAGAAUCGUAAAACCUAAAGAUUUAUUGCGCACAUAAAGGAUUCAGUUCCCACUUUUAAACGAGAACAGUCUUCUUUUUCUCACUGGAAAAGUUAAUAUAUUUCUAAAAUGAAGUUUUAAACCAUAUACGCCAUCCCAGUAUAAAUAUAAAUAAUAAAUAUUGCUAUAAAUGAUGAACUAUCUUCUCCAUAAAGGUAUUUAUAUUUGUAAGAUAUUUAUAGGAAAGUGAAAUUGAUAUGAAUGUCUCAGAAAAUACCAUUAGUCUGUCUAAAAUGUUAGCAUUUCUAAACCCUUUUUUUUCUGAACUGAGAUACAUUUAUUUACAGAAAAGUUUUUAGAGUUAUAAAUCUCCCAUGCAUACAAACUGAUAUUCAAAUAAAACCUGUUUCUAAAAUAUCAUUUCCAAAAUGAAUAUUAAAUAGUAUUUUUAUGAGUGAACAAUUUUUAAAAAAUAAUUUGAUAUCAUAUGGUAUUUUCUUUUCUUUUUCUUUUGUGAGGAAGAUUAGCC